AUUGAACGCUGGCGGCAGGCUUAACACAUGCAAGUCGAGCGGGGGAGGUUGCUUCGGUAACUGACCUAGCGGCGAACGGGUGAGUAAUACUUAGGAAUCUGCCUAUUAAUGGGGGACAACAUCUCGAAAGGGAUGCUAAUACCGCAUACGCCCUACGGGGGAAAGCAGGGGAUCACUUGUGACCUUGCGUUAAUAGAUGAGCCUAAGUCGGAUUAGCUAGUUGGUGGGGUAAAGGCCUACCAAGGCGACGAUCUGUAGCGGGUCUGAGAGGAUGAUCCGCCACACUGGGACUGAGACGCGGCCCAGACUCCUACGGGAGGCAGCAGUGGGGAAUAUUGGACAAUGGGGGGAACCCUGAUCCAGCCAUGCCGCGUGUGUGAAGAAGGCCUUAUGGUUGUAAAGCACUUUAAGCGAGGAGGAGGCUCUUUUGGUUAAUACCCAAGAUGAGUGGACGUUACUCGCAGAAUAAGCACCGGCUAACUCUGUGCCAGCCGCCGCGGUAAAAC
rnacentral:rRNA from 1 species